rnacentral:rRNA from 1 species
CACUCCUGCGGGAGGCAGCAGUGGGGAAUAUUGGACAAUGGGCGCAAGCCUGAUCCAGCCAUGCCGCGUGAGUGAUGAAGGCCCUAGGGUUGUAAAGCUCUUUCACCGGUGAAGAUAAUGACGGUAACCGGAGAAGAAGCCCCGGCUAACUUCGUGCCAGCAGCCGCGGUAAUACGAAGGGGGCUAGCGUUGUUCGGAUUUACUGGGCGUAAAGCGCACGUAGGCGGACUAUUAAGUCAGGGGUGAAAUCCCGGGGCUCAACCCCGGAACUGCCUUUGAUACUGGUAGUCUUGAGUUCGAGAGAGGUGAGUGGAAUUCCGAGUGUAGAGGUGAAAUUCGUAGAUAUUCGGAGGAACACCAGUGGCGAAGGCGGCUCACUGGCUCGAUACUGACGCUGAGGUGCGAAAGCGUGGGGAGCAAACAGGAUUAGAAACCCCGGUAGUCCCAUGAU